UAGAGUUUGAUCCUGGCUCAGAUUGAACGCUGGCGGCAGGCCUAACACAUGCAAGUCGAGCGGUAACAUGUCUAGCUUGCUAGAUGAUGACGAGCGGCGGACGGGUGAGUAAUGCUUGGGGAUCUGCCUUAGAGUGGAGGAUAACCAUUGGAAACGAUGGCUAAUACUGCAUAGUAUCUGCGGAUUAAAGGGGGCUUCGGCUCUUGCUUUAAGAUGAACCCAAGUGGGAUUAGCUAGUUGGUGAGGUAAUGGCUCACCAAGGCGACGAUCCCUAGCUGGUCUGAGAGGAUGAUCAGCCACACUGGAACUGAGACACGGUCCAGACUCCUACGGGAGGCAGCAGUGGGGAAUAUUGCACAAUGGGCGAAAGCCUGAUGCAGCCAUGCCGCGUGUGUGAAGAAGGCCCUAGGGUUGUAAAGCACUUUCAGUCAGGAGGAAAGGUUAGUAGUUAAUACCUGCUAGCUGUGACGUUACUGACAGAAGAAGCACCGGCUAACUUCGUGCCAGCAGCCGCGGUAAUACGAGGGGUGCAAGCGUUAAUCGGAAUUACUGGGCGUAAAGCGAGCGUAGGCGGCUGAAUAAGCUGGAUGUGAAAAACCGGGGCUCAACCUCGGCCGUGCAUUCAGAACUGUUUAGCUAGAGUACUGUAGAGGGGGGUAGAAUUUCA
rnacentral:rRNA from 1 species